rnacentral:lncRNA from 1 species
ACUGCAUGCGCGUCCUUUGAGUGCCAUCAUCAAAUUACAUAUAUAAUCUGCAAAUCUAAUUGCUCUUACCUACUCCAAUCGGUUAAGAUUGUCGAUCAGUGUAGUUACGGAUAUUUAAAAGUCUUCGGUUUGAAGAAUUAAAUUUGAUUGAGCAAGACAUAAUGAGAGUGUUGAAUUGACUACUGUGGUAUUGCGCAAUUGGUGGAGCCAAGUCCAUAUAUAGUGGAUUUAGACAAAACCUGCUAACUAGGACUGGAGUGUUAGUUCAGAGGACGACGAAUCUUUUUGAGUGGGAUGGUGUCCUUAAUUUCCAAGUAAGCUUCGACGUACGAACAUGUAUAUGGGUUCGCAUGCAUACUGAUUUCACGCAUGGAAUACCGGUAUCUCUUCAGCAUAAUGCAACCAAUCGCGCUAUUUUAAAAGGAGGAUAUAAGGAUAGUUAUGAUUCACACCAGUUUCGGUCCAAAACAUUUAACAUUUGGGUAUAUAUUUACGAUUUUUGUCGAGUUCGGCUAAGGCCCAUUGUCAGUUCGGCUUAGUGCUUGGUCGUGUUGGAACUAGAGGGGUCUAGGAGAGUCCCCACUCUCUUAUUCCUAAUCACGAGUACUAUAUUAUAUAUAUAAUUAAUACCCGUUAUCGAAAUAUGCUAGGUUUAACAACGGUCGG